AACGCACCUUGCGCCCUUUGGUAUUCCGAAGGGCACACCCGUUUGAGUGUCGUGACAUCUUCAAACCUUCUUGGUUUCUCGACCAGGAAGGCUUUGGACUCUGGAGGUUCUUGCUGGCCUUACUUUGUUGAAGCCAGCUCCUCUAAAAUGAAUUAGUGGGAUCUGCUUUGCGGAUACUUGACGUGAUAAGAUAUUUCUACGUCUUGGAUCUCGCACUGUUCGCUCUGGAUCCUGCUUCUAACCGUCUCAUAGAAGACAAUGGGUUAAGUGAUUGCCACUUGGCCCACAAACCUUGACCUCAAAUCGGGUGAGACUACCCGCUGAACUUAA
rnacentral:misc_RNA from 1 species